CCGUAACCGACGCUUCAUCGAGCGUGAAAUCGAGUAGGGCGGGACACGUGAUAUCCUGUCUGAAUAUGGGGGGACCAUCCUCCAAGGCUAAAUACUCCUGACUGACCGAUAGUGAACCAGUACCGUGAGGGAAAGGCGAAAAGAACCCCUGUGAGGGGAGUGAAAUAGAACCUGAAACCGUGUACGUACAAGCAGUAGGAGCACCUUCGUGGUGUGACUGCGUACCUUUUGUAUAAUGGGUCAGCGACUUAUAUUCAGUGGCAAGGUUAACCGUAUAGGGGAGCCGUAGCGAAAGCGAGUCUUAACUGGGCGCUCAGUCUCUGGAUAUAGACCCGAAACCGGGUGAUCUAGCCAUGGGCAGGUUGAAGGUUGAGUAACAUCAACUGGAGGACCGAACCGACUAAUGUUGAAAAAUUAGCGGAUGACUUGUGGCUAGGGGUGAAAGGCCAAUCAAACUCGGAGAUAGCUGGUUCUCCCCGAAAGCUAUUUAGGUAGCGCCUCGGACGAAUACUACUGGGGGUAGAGCACUGUUAAGGCUAGGGGGUCAUCCCGACUUACCAACCCUUUGCAAACUCCGAAUACCAGUAAGUACUAUCCGGGAGACACACGGCGGGUGCUAACGUCCGUCGUGGAGAGGGAAACAACCCAGACCGCCAGCUAAGGUCCCAAAGUAUUGCUAAGUGGGAAACGAUGUGGGAAGGCUCAGACAGCUAGGAUGUUGGCUUAGAAGCAGCCAUCAUUUAAAGAAAGCGUAAUAGCUCACUAGUCGAGUCGGCCUGCGCGGAAGAUGUAACGGGGCUAAGCA
rnacentral:rRNA from 1 species